UUGACUUCAGAUAGCCCUAACACUACUAUUCGACCAAACCUCCCUUUCCUCUUCUUCGUUCUCCGCCUCCGACCAAAACCAUCCUCUUCUUCGUUCUCCACCUCCGACCAAUACCCUCCUCCUCUUCGUUUUCCGCCUCCGACCAAUACCCUCCUCUUCGUUCUCUCUCUAAAACCCGCUCUGUCUCUCUCUGGAAUUGACGAAGAUGAAGUCUAUGCAACCACACGACAAUUUCUUACGGGAGACAAUGAAGCCUCCCCAGUCGCCAAACCCUAGCUCCGGCAAGCCUCCAAGGAGAAAAGCGCCUCCGCCUUCAGAUCUAACUAUACGGCUAUGGAUUUGAAGCCUUUGCCGGGGGCCAAGUUAAAGAGUACAUUGCCACCACGGCCGCCGCCGUGAAAUCCUCUCAAACGGAAGCUUGGGAUGAUUCCUAAGAACUCCGUCCAUGGAGCCUUUGAUUCCAAUGUCCAGGUACUACUCUAUUUCUUGACCGACCUAAAUCUCUUUGUUAGAAAUCUUCCCUUCACUGUUGAUAGUGCUCAGGUAGUUGAGCUCUUCGAAGGUGCUGGGAAUGUUGAGAUGGUCGAGGUUAUGCAUGACAAGACUACUGGGAGAAGCAGAGGAUUUGGGUUUGUGUCUCACCAUUUGGGAUCACAAAAUUUCGAGGAUUGCCGAAUUGCUUAGUCUAAAUGUUUGAACUGCAUUGAACCUAGCGUUUGGUGGAUUAAAAGAUUUCAGUGGUGGUUUUGAAAGCGCGGAGCUUUCGGUGAUUCUGUGCAAUGAUGAGUUAAUGAGAAAACGUAACAAAGAAUGGAGAGAUGAGGACCGUGCUACUGGUGUUGUUUCCAAGUCUAAGCAUGUGCCUGGUCUUAAGAUUCCAAUUGUUGUGUUCGGUGACAUUGUGAUUUCUGUUGAGAUGGCGGCAAGGCAAGCAGAGCAAAGAGGCCACACACUUCUUGAUGAGAUGCGCCUUCUCAUGGUAGGACUACUAGUGCUUAUAUUUCUCUUGCUAUAUGUGACAUUUUGUUGAAUGAAUGUGAUGCUUUCUGAGUCCCAUUAUAGUACAUUUAUCCAUGAUAAUUGCUGAUAUGAAAGUCGCAUGUUGAUUCCAUUAUGGCAAAAAUUGCUACUGGAAAGCUUAAUGUAUUGUACUUUUAAUGUCAUUGGGAGAAACACAUGUCUUGGACUGCCCGAUUCUAAUGUGCAAGCCAGCUGUUGGGUUAAGGUUUUCAGUGAAGAGAUAAUUUCUCAUGGAGGAAUAGUUGUUGGCUAUUAUAUAUAUAUAUAUAUAUAUAUAUGUGAACUCACAGCCAUAACAAGUACAGAACUUUAUGACUAAAAAGAGGCAGAAAAACUCUGGGUUUUAAUGGGACAUAAGUUUCCUAAUGUUUUUUUCCGUGCUCCACCAUGUAGAACCUCCGAUUAUCCUGGUGAUGUUUGGUGAGUCUGUGAGUUGUUUUUGAGUUAAUUGAAUUGAAAUGUAUGCUUGGAGGUGAUGGUUGUUUGUUAGUUAAUUAUUUGGACUAUGAAAGGUCAGGAGAAGAUUAUUCUCUCUCAGGUCAUAUUAGCUGAAGCUUUGAUUUGUGUUCUUCUACAUGAGAUAACAUUCUUCAUUGAGCUUUUUGGGCCUGCAACAAAGUUCGAAGCCUUAUUGGUUAAUAGCAGUUGGAAAUUGGAAUUGAAAGGUGCAGUUCUCCUUGUUUUUUCCAAUAAGUAGGUAAAUGCUAUCCUAAAACCCAUUUGUUUGAUUACCAACACUUCUAUUGUUUCAUUGCAGCAACUCUCUUCUCAUCCAAUUUCACGACCAAUAACAUUCAAGAUUAUUGUUACACUAUAAAUCAAACCGAGUUUUUCCCUUCUUCAAUCUUUUCUUUCUCCUCGGUCUCUUUAUGCUUGAUCUUAUCGUUUUUCUGGAAUUCUCACCCUUUCGAUCUACUCUGAUCUGCUUGUUAAAAAGGGUAUGCCUUAUGACUUUCAAUCUCAAUUCUUUGAUUACUUUCUAUUGAUUUGCAGCUCUUCAUAUUCAAAUACACGUCUGGAUAUCUUUUAGCCUCUCUUUGAUUAAACUCUGUUCUUAUAGAAACCAAUUGGAAUAUUUCGGUUCUCACUUUUCUUCAAAACUAUAUAUGAGUUUGGAUGUACUUAUCAAAUUGGACUUCACGUGUAUAAAUUAUUUCAGAAACUACAUACAGUUUCCAGACCCAGCGACCUGUUUCUGUAAAACUGUAAUUUUCUGUUAAGAAAUUGAAGUUAUUUUCUUCUGAGAAUUUGUAGUGGACUUGUUAAAGAGUAUUUGAGACUUGGAAUCUCCUAAAAAAGAUUUUUCUAUCAUUAGUUAUGAUUUUUCAAAGUUACAGGUCUGUUGCAGGAAUUUCUAAAAACAGUAUCACUGUCAUGUUCUUUCUGUUUCUUUUAGUAUCUUUUUAUGUACAAUCUUGAUUGAAGAAACCAGUACUUUAAAAUUAGGCAUUCCCACCUUUCAUAUGAAACCAGCCUGGCUCCAUUUGGAGUUCGUAUGAAAGAUUUAUACCACGACAAAUUUGGCUUUGUGCAUUAGCAUUUCUGGUGCACAGUUUUACUUUACAAAUCAGAUCUCAAAUAACCAUUUCUAGAUCGAUGUUCAAUCUGUGCUAUAAUCCAUAUAUGAAGUUUCUUCUUCACCUGUAGCAGUUGUACUUUUCAUUCUACAAGAUCAACUUAUGUCCUUGAUAAUUCCAGUAUGAAAGAAUGAGUAGCACAAACACUACUAGAAUUUUGCUCAACAGAUCCAUGGUCCAUUUCUCAUUGUUGUACCAUUAUCUACUUUGUCAAAUUGGGCAAAAGAAUUUAGGAAAUGGCUUCCUGAUCUGAAUGUUAGUGUAUGUUGGUACCCGUGCAAGCCGAGAGGUAAACUGAGCUUUCUUGUAGAUGUCACAAAGUUCAUAUAUGGUUAGCGUUUGAUAAUAUGAUUUUACUUGCAUUGUUAGUUCAAAAAUAGUUAAAGCUCCCAAAUUGUACUCAUCAUAGCUAGUUUCUUGUGCCUAUUGAAUAAAUACUUCUAUAGCUAGUAUGCUGGUCAGCUCUCCGCUUUCAAUGUGGAACUUUAAUUACUGUACAAAGUUGAGUGAUCUUAAAAUGAACUCUCUGUCCUUCAGCCCUCCUUUUAUUGAGUGCACUUUUUUGAGUUCCUUUUUUACCAUAUGGUAGGCUAAAGUGCCUCCUAAGGUACAAGUUUUUGCUUCGGGCUGUUGCUCACAGGAGAGUUAUACUUGUGAGGUCAACAGCAAAGCCCUUCUGUUUGACUUUGGCCACUUGAAAGAAAGAGGCAGUUGAGGGUAUUGGUAACAUUUUCCUUCAUUUUCUAGUGGUGUUGAGAUUGGAUAGAAGUGUCUGCUGCUAUGGUGAAUGUGAUUCCCUCAGCUGGGGUAUUUGGUGUGGAGUGAUUGCAUCAUGUGUUUUAAUGUUGCCAUUGUGUAUGGAGUAACUGUAUUUUUAUCUUCUGGUGUAGUGACCAUGGUCAAAUGAGUACUUGCUUUUAAUUUUGUUAGGGUCAAUACAGUUGCCCUGCAUCUCACCAUGAAUAUUCAUCUUUGAUCGCAAAUUUAUGUCUUUGGAUUCAAUGGUGCCAGUCUCUGUCUGUAUUACAGCAAAUAUAUUCAUGCAAUCUGUCUGUGCCUAGUUUUUUUUAUAGUAACUUGUUCAGCAUUGUUGACCUUUGACUCAAUUAAUCAUAAUUAAGGACUUAAAUAUCCCAGAAAGGUAUAGUUAAGUUAACCAACAGAUUGUGUUAUGGAUGCUAGGAUAGGAAUGUCUUGUAAGCUCAAUGUCUUUUUGUCUUUCCCUUUUCCUUUCAUUUCUUUCCUUCGGGAUGGUUUUUCUUGUUAUAGCUAAUUGUUCAUUUCAUUUUAUUUGCAGGUGAAAACAGAAGAACAAAUGGGAUAUAAGUAUGACGAGGCUUGCCUUCGUUUAUGUUUCUAGUAUUAUGUACCAUUUAGACUUAAAUUUUUGUUUUAUUUCUACAUGUUAUGCAUAGAAAUACUUGGGAUGUUGUUAUGUACUUUGAGCAUCAAUAUUAAUCAAA